rnacentral:rRNA from 1 species
GACGGAGGGUGCAAGCGUUGUUCGGAAUUACUGGGCGUAAAGCGCGGGCAGGUGGCCUUUUAAGUCCUUUGUGAAAUUCCGGAGCUCAACUCCGGAUGUGCAUAGGAUACUGGAAGGCUAGAGACUGGUAGAGGUAAGCGGAAUUCCUGGUGUAGCGGUGAAAUGCGUAGAUAUCAGGAGGAACACCUGUGGUGUAGACAGCUUACUGGACCAUUUCUGACGCUGAGACACGAAAGCGUGGGUAGCAAACAGG